rnacentral:rRNA from 1 species
GGGUCAGUAGGUUGGUCGUGCCACCGGUACGUACUGGUCUCACUGAUUCCUCCUUCCUGAAGAACCGUAAUACCAUUAAUUUGGUGUUGCGGGGAAACAGGACUGUUACUUUGAAAAAAUUAGAGUGUUUAAAGCAAGCUAACGCUCGAAUACAUUAGCAUGGAAUAAUGAAAUAGGACGAUCGAUCCUAUUUUGUUGGUUUCUAGGAUUGACGUA